CUGGGAAUAAGUUGCUUUUCUUGUAAAAUAUUUCACUGUUUAGAGCAAUGUUUGUUGUAGCAAGGCCUUUUCCUCCUGCACAGAUUUAAACUGUCACAUUGGGGGUUGAUUAGUAAUACUGUUGAAAUAUUAAAACUUGCAGGCUUUCUGAAACAAAUUUCCUCCGUACUUUGUUGUGUGCAGUUUCUUAGGAUGCAGUGCUCUGAUGAUCUACUUGUUUGAUAGUAGCUAACUUAGAGUAAAUGAAUCUUGAAUUCAAAAGUUACCUGGAAAAAUUCCUACAGCUGGAGCUGCCAUGGGCAAGGGCAAAUUCAGUAUUAAUAUGGGUAACAAAAGAAGUUAACAAAAUGAAUGUGAAAAAGGGUAUGUAACCAAAUAUUUAUUCUCAUAUCUAGUAGUACUUACCACUCUCCUAAUAAUAGUCUUUUAUUAUUUAGUUUAAGACUGUAGUUGCCCUGCAGAAGAGGAUUUGGAGACAUAAUCUAAGGGAAUACCAAAUAUGGGACUACUUAAGAGAGAAAUUCAAAGAACCUUUAAAUCUGAUGGACAUGCUCUUCAGCACAUGGCUGCCAAGUACGUCAGGCAACCAGGACCCAUGGAGGUGAAGCUUCCUGAAUGGUGACUGCAACUUAGCCUUUCAGAAGGUAAAACUUUGUGACUGUAACUUGUAUGAAAUGUGCUUAACAUAUGCAAUUUCUUCCAAUGCUGCUGUGAGUGCAGCUGUUAUACCCAACACUUAACAAAAUACUAAUAAAAGCCAUUAUCAUUCAUCAGUUA